CACAGUGGAAUUGCCCGCAUUGGGGAAAACCGCAGGGGUCAGUCCCCCCCCCCAACGCAAUGGAUGAGCCUCACCCUGGGAAACCCCCCCCCCCGCUUUAUUAUAGUAGUUCCCCCAGCAGUGUCUAGGGGUGUGAUUGCUGCAGAGCCCUAGGAGGCCAGUGUGAUGGUGUCUGCACAGAGAAUGGGCCGGCACUCUGUCUCCUGGCAACUGAUGGCCUGGGCCUCUCCUCUGCAAGGUGCCAACUGAAGGUGUUGGAGAACAAAGAGAUCAGGUGACCUCCUGGCCUGGGAAAGAGACAAAGGCGAGAGGAGGGGGCUGGAGAGGUUUCAGUUUGGAGCUGGCGGGGAAAAUGGAGGGGAGCCCAGAAGGGGCUCUGGCCUCCCUGCCCCUCCCCCCAGACGAACCUAACUGAGGGCAUCCUGUUGUCUGUACCUGCAAGACCUGUCUUGGACCGUGUUCCCGUCGUCUAAAUAAACCUUCUGCUUUACUGGC